CCUUAGAGCCAUUUAGCUUUCCUGUAGCCGUGCUAGGUCUCGAGCUUCAUAAGUGUAAGGGCAUCUAUUUUGCUGCUGUGGAUUAUGGCACAUAUGGGCCGGUUCUGGAGCUGGUGGAAGCAGCGGUGGCCUCCUGCUUGGAGGGGCUUCUGGAUUGCAGGAGCCAGUGAUUUCCUUUUCAUAGAAGAGCCCAUAUUUCUUUGGCAGUCUUCUGCACUCCAGAUUUGAGAUUGGUCCUUGGAUGCUCAACCUAGCCUGCUUCCUCAGCCUUCUCCACGAUUCUAACAAGUGACCACCACCAAAAACCUAUGCAAACAGUAAGGAUAGUGAAAGCCCAUCCUGUUGGGUGAAGGCACAUCAUUCAUUCCCACCUCCAGCCCUUCGGACGGCAGCACACACAGCAGGAAUUCAGGACAACAGAGAGGAAGCUUGAAUGGUGGAAUACAGAUUGGACCAGAAAAGCGUCACGGGUGGGAAGGAGGUGCCGGCGAGUUCCGACUCAUCCCCAGCUGGGAUCUGCUGGCCCUAUCUGAGGCCUGGUCUCCAUUGAAACCACUGCUCCCAACAGCAUCAUCUCCAAUAAAGGUUGAUCAUCUUCCAGGCCCAAUACAGCUUUCUUGAGAACAACUUGACCCUCUCGAGGUGUUCAGACCACCUUACCUGAGGGGUCUCAGCCAGAAGGCAGAGGUCUAAGAGGACCAAGCUAGGGCAUAAACAGGGAGUUUGCACAGAAACAAGAUGAGUCCUGCCCCUCACACUGGAUGAAGAGUCCCAAGCGGAUGGAGGAUGAGGGGAAGACUAGGGUUGCAAAAUGGGUGAAGGAGAUCAAGAAAUACAAACUUCCAGGUAAAAAAUAAAUAUGUCAUGGGGGUGUCAUGAAGAGGAUGGGGAACACAGUCAAUAAUCUCGUAUUGACUUUAUAUGGUGACGGAUGGUAACUAAUCUAUGGAGGCGGUCAUCUGCCAACACAUACAAAAGUUGAAUCACUAUGUUGUACACCUCCAACUGAUACAAUAUUGAAUAUCAAUUAUGCUUCAAUUAUGAAAAAAACAUUCCCAAGUUGGGAGGGAGGGAGAGUCAAAAAUAGCAGGUCCCUAAGAAGGAGUCCCAAAUUACAACCUCCCCACCCCAAGAUUCAAGUGUGGCAGGAAAAUGAGAAAAUUCAAGGAUGAUUUCUGGAACCCUGGACUGGAGGGACCUAUGCACCCCCUCCUAGGCAGAGCCCCCAAGAACAUGGCUCAACUCCAGUAAGAAAAUGACUGCACCGUGUGUAAGCAGUUUCAUCCCCCAAUCCCCGGAAAAGUCCCCUGCCCCUAGUGUGAGAGCAGCAGAAGUUUCUGGGUGCCCUGACAGAAAAGCAUGACACCUGGAGGAGGCUCAGGGAAGGGAAUGAGGAUGAUGGACAGUUCAGCGGAAGUCAGUAUGAACAGGUGGCUAGUAAAAGCCUGGCUUCUGCAGCCUCAUCACCUUGGGGUCUCAUCACCCCCCACCUGCUGGAUUUUCAGACCCAACCCCAAGAAAAGAGGAACA